rnacentral:rRNA from 1 species
AUGCAGCCCAACAGGACCGACCGGCCCAACCCCUCCCCGAGUCGUCUCCCUCUCCUCCCCUGUUCGACCGACCGGGAAGGGGCUCCUGCUCGUCCCUGCCGGACCCGGCGUCGUGCCCCGUACGCCACCGACGGGAGGAUAAGGCCCCCCUGGCGCCUCGGUUCCUCCCUGGCCUCACUCCCAUUCUCAUCCACUCCCCCUCUCCCAGGCGUUCCCCUCUCUAGUUCUGUCCCACUCCCGAACGCCUCCGUCACCGCUGUUGUCGUCGACCUCACGGCCACGGUUGCCCCCACGCCGAGCUGGGAGGUCCCGCGGAUCCGCCGUCGUGUGCUUCGUCUUCCUCGCCCACGAGCUCAAGCCCGGAGCUACCGCAUCGGCCAGAUCGACAUCAUCUUCUUCCUCGCACCUCCUCCGAUUCCCGGCCUUUACUCCGUUGAUUCAUUGCUGUAUCGCCAUCCCCACGAGCUCGAGCGCCAUGGCCGAAACCUCAUCCACGUGCGCGCCCACGUGCUCCUGGUCGCUCCCUCGCGAGCCACCCACGCCCGCGCCCUUGGGCCUCGCAUGCGCCUGUGCUCCUCCUCCCCUGCUACCGCAGCUGUUGCUGCCCUGCGCUGUCGCGGCCGCGCACUGCUCUACCUGCUGCUGCUUGCGGCGCUGCUGCUGCCCCGCUACGCCAGCCAGCGUGCACGCGCACCGCGCCCCCGCUCGCCUUCUGCUGACGCUGCCUUGCCGUGCCUGCUGUUGUUCUGCUGUCGCUACUGCUCUUUCCUGCUGCUUCCUCUGCCUGGCGAUGAGGGGGCGACGGGGAGUGCGGCCGCCGGGAUCCCGGCGGGAUCGCGGCCUGCUCCCUCCGGUGAGCAGCGGCAGGUGGGGGGCCGGUUCUGGGCCCUUGCCUACGCCGACGAGGAUGAGGGGGGUGACGACACGGAUGUGGUGCCGUCAUCGCCGCCUACUCCGACGCCCUCUGAUCUGUUGUGUGAGUUCUUGGGUGCAGGUUAUGACAAAGAUGAGGUCGCUUCCACCGUCGACAAGGUUUUGCCCCUCGAGGAUCCGGCUAGGGUCGGGCUUCAUGCGGGAGAAACCAAGGAUGUGCUGCGCCGGGUGGUUCACCGGAGAACGGCGGCGACGGCGAUCCGGUCGUGGAAGGGCCCCUUGCCUAAGGAGAAAGAGCGCUCGCCGGGCAGUGCCUCGAUCGGUGCUGGAGAUGACCGCGGUUGCGCCGCCGGCGGUCAUGGCGAUCCAGAUCGGGACGGCUCGCUAGGAGCGUUUGAAUUCGCUCCUGGGCCGAGACGCGUUGUAUUGUGGUGUUGGGCCGGUGGGUUUGAGUGGGCUAGGGUCCGCUGGGCAUGCACGUCCAGAUCAUUGUCGCUGGUUCCUGCGUCCUGCCCUAGGGCUCUCAUUAGACAAACGCCGAGACGACGUUUUGCGGGGAGUGGCCGGGCGCGCCGCAUCUUCCUGCUAGGGGCCAUGGCGAGGCCUGGAGGUGCUCCGCCGCCUGGGAAGAAGCCGUUUGCGCCGGGUGGGGCUGGCCGCGCUGGAGGGGCGCCGCCGCUAGGCCCGGGCAGCGGCAGGGGCCUUGCGCCAUCGCCGGCAGUCGGCGCUGGUCGUGGAGCAGUGACUACGGCGGGUCGAGGAGCUGCUGGUGGAGCGCCUAAUGCUGCGGCGGGUCGCGGCGCUGGCAGUCUGCCCGUUGCCCGGCCACCGACGGCAUCUCCGGUGGUCGUUCCCUCGGCCGGACGUGGAGGGCCGGUCCUCGGUCCUCGCCGGAUGGCGCCCGGCGUGGCCAGUGUGGUUGCUGUGGGUCGCGGUGCAGCGCCGCCUAGGCCUCCCGCGCCGACGAUGGGCUUGCAACCGCGGCCGACUCUGCCGCCGCAUUACGUUGUUCGGCCGCCUCAGAAUCGGGCUGCGCCGGUGGGGUCGCAGGCGCCGCCGCCGCAGAGCAGUGCCUUUGGUGGUGCCUCAGUUAUGCCCAGGGGUCAAUGGGGGGAUGACGGUUAUAAUGCCUAUGGAGCUGGGCAGCACCGGGGUUCCUCGUCCACGGGUGGAGGUCGUGGAUUUGCUUGGCAGAGCGACAGAUCAGCGGAGAGGCCGUUCUUGGGUCCUACCGGUGGUUUUGUCGAGGGGGCAUCUGGCCCGGGUCAUCGGCAGCGGGGUGGUUUCCACGGCCAUCGUGGCGGUCAUCAUGCACUAUGA